UUGAUCCUGGCUCAGAAUCAACGCUGGCGGCGUGCCUAACACAUGCAAGUCGAACGCGAAAACCCCGCAAGGGGUUAGUAGAGUGGCAAACGGGUGAGUUACACGUGGGUGACCUGCCUUCGAGUGGGGGAUAACGUCCCGAAAGGGUCUCUAAUACCGCAUGACAUCCUGCCUUUGAAGAGGUGGAGAUCAAAGCUGGUGACCGCAAGGCCUAGCGCUUGAAGAGGGGCCCGCGCCUGAUUAGCUAGUUGGUGGGGUAAUGGCUCACCAAGGCAACGAUCAGUAUCCGGCCUGAGAGGUCGGACGGACACACUGGGACUGAGACACGGCCCAGACUCCUACGGGAGGCUGCAGUGGGGAAUUGUUCGCAAUGGGCGCAAGCCUGACGACGCAACGCCGUGUGGAGGAUGAAGACCUUCGGGUCGUAAACUCCUUUCGAUCGAGACGAAUGGUCUCCGGGUGAACAAUCUGGGGAAGUGACGGUACCGAGAGAAGAAGCUCCGGCUAACUCCGUGCCAGCAGCCGCGGUAU
rnacentral:rRNA from 1 species